CUAAAAUAAAGUUAAACCGCAUAAGGCUCAUUAUAUCAGUUAUGGUUUUUUAGAUCGUAUUCACAGUUACUUGGAUAACUGUGGUAAUUCUAGAGCUAAUACAUGCACUUAAGGGAAUUUUAACCGAUUCCUGCUUUUAUUAGAUAAAAACCAAUGGGGUAGACUUCGGUUUGCUCAAUAAAAUGGUUGAACUCUGGAUAAUUUGUUGAUCGCAUGGUCUUCGUACCGGCGACGGAUCUUUCAAAUGUCUGCCCUAUCAACUAUUGAAGGUAGUGUCUUGGACUACCUUGGUUGCAACGGGUAACGGGGAAUCAGGGUUCGAUUCCGGAGAGGGAGCCUGAGAAACGGCUACCACAUCUAAGGAAGGCAGCAGGCGCGUAAAUUACCCACUCCCGGCACGGGGAGGUAGUGACGAAAAAUAACAAUACAAGACUCACAUCCGAGGCCUUGUAAUUGGAAUGAGUACACUUUAAAUCCUUUAACAAGGAUCAAUUGGAGGGCAAGUCUGGUGCCAGCAGCCGCGGUAAUUCCAGCUCCAAUAGCGUAUAUUAAAGUUGUUGCGGUUAAAACGUUCGUAGUUGAACUUGUGUUCCGCACAGGCAGUACCUACGACUAGGUCACUAGUACGGUACUUUGUCUUUUCACAUUUGUGGAAAAAGUGCGUGGACGUAUUAUCGGCGUGUUCAUCUUCCGAGGUGUUCACUUAAGCUCAUUUCAGUGCUCUUCAUCGAGUGUUGUUGUGGGCCGAUACAAAUUACUUUGAACAAAUUAGAGUGCUUAAAGCAGGCUUGAAAUGCCUGAAUAUUUUGUGCAUGGAAUAAUGUAAUAGGACAUCUGUUCUACUUUCAUUGGUUUUUUAGAUCAAGAUGUAAUGAUUAAUGGAGGCAAUUGGGGGCAUUAGUAUUACAACGCGAGAGGUGAAAUUCUUAGACCGUAGUAAGACUAACUAAAGCGAAAGCAUUUGCCAAAGGUGUUUUCAUUUAAUCAAGAACGAAAGUUAGAGGUUCGAAGGCGAUCAGAUACCGCCCUAGUUCUAACCAUAAACGAUGUCAGCUAGCAAUUGGGUGGAGCUACUACUAUGGCUCUCUCAGGCGCUUCUCGGGAAACCAAAGCUUUUGGGCUCCGGGGGAAGUUUGGUUGCAAAGCUGAAACUUAAAGGAAUUGACGGA
rnacentral:rRNA from 1 species